rnacentral:sRNA from 1 species
CAUUACUGAGUGAGGGCUCACGCCCGACCUCCAACCCUUUGUGAACACGUCUUGUUGCUUCGGGGGCGACCCUGCCGGCACUCGUCGCCGGGCGCCCCCGGAGGUCGUCUAAACACUGCAUCCUCGCGUCGGAGUUUGAAACGAAUCAAACAAAACUUUCAACAACGGAUCUCUUGGCUCUGGCAUCGAUGAAGAACGCAGCGAAAUGCGAUAAGUAAUGUGAAUUGCAGAAUUCAGUGAAUCAUCGAAUCUUUGAACGCACAUUGCGCCCUUUGGUAUUCCGAAGGGCAUGCCUGUUCGAGCGUCAUUUCACCACUCAAGCCUGGCUUGGUAUUGGGCGUCGCGGUGGUUCGCGCGCCUUAAAGUCUCCGGCCGAGCUGUCCGUCUCUGAGCGUUGUGGACUUUUAACUAUUCGCUCCGGAGCACGGACGGCCGCGGCCGUUAAGUCUUCACUUAAGGUUGACCUCGGAUCAGGUAGGGAUACCCGCUGAACUUAAGCAUAUCAAUAAGCGGAGGAAAAGAAACCAACAGGGAUUGCCCUAGUAACGGCGAGUGAAGCGGCAACAGCUCAAAUUUGAAAUCUGGCGCAAGCCCGAGUUGUACUUUGUAGAGGAUGCUUCUGGGUAGCGGCCGGUCUAAGUUCCUUGGAACAGGACGUCAUAGAGGGUGAGAAUCCCGUAUGUGACUGGCUUGCACCCUCCACGUAGCUCCUUCGACGAGUCGAGUUGUUUGGGAAUGCAGCUCUAAAUGGGAGGUAAAUUUCUUCUAAAGCUAAAUACCGGCCAGAGACCGAUAGCGCACAAGUAGAGUGAUCGAAAGAUGAAAAGCACUUUGGAAAGAGAGUUAAACAGCACGUGAAAUUGUUGAAAGGGAAGCGCCCGCAACCAGACUUUGCGGCAGUGUUCGGCCGGUCUUCUGACCGGUUUACRCRGCUGUCGUGAGGCCAUCAUCGUCUGGGACCGCUGGAUAAGACCUUAGGAAUGUAGCUCCCCUCGGGGAGUGUUAUAGCCUCUGGUGAUGCAGCGCGUCUCGGGCGAGGUCCGCGCUCCGGCAAGGAUGAUGGCGUAAUGGUUGUCGGCGGC